CUCCUCCGGGAGGGACACUAGGGAAUCUUCCUCACUGAGGGGAAGCCUGAUGGAGCAACACCGCGUGAGUGAAGAAGAAUUUCGUCUGGUAGAGCUCCGCUGUUAAUGAAGAACACGUAUGAGAGUAACUGUUCAUACGUCGGCGGUAGUUAACCACAAAGUCACGGCGAAAUACGUGCCAGCAGCCGCGGUAAUAAUUAGGGGGCGGCGCGUUAUCUUGGAUUUUUUUGGGGGAAAAAGAGGGCAGGCGGUUUUGUAAGUUUGAUGUGAAAACCCUUGGGUUACCGGAGAAGUGGAUUUGAAAAUGGAGAAAUUGAGUGGAGAAGAGGGUAGUGGAAGAUCCCCAUGUGGCGGUGGAAAGGGUAGAAAUAUGGAAGAACACCCCUGGGGAAGGGGGGUACCUGGUGUGCAAACUGACGCUGAGAGCUCGAAAGCAUGGGUAGCGAACAGGAUUAGAUACCCCGGUAGUCCACGCCGUAAAAGAGGAGAGCUAGGUGGGGAGGGGUUCCGCCCUUCAGUGCCGG
rnacentral:rRNA from 2 species